GACGAACGCUGGCGGCGUGCUUAACACAUGCAAGUCGAACGGAAAGGCCCUGCUUUUGUGGGUUGCUCGAUUGGCGAACGGGUGAGUAACACGUGAGUAACCUGCCCUUGACUUUGGGAUAACUUCAGGAAACUGGGGCUAAUACCGGAUAGGAGCUCCUGCUGCAUGGUGGGGGUUGGAAAGUUUCGGCGGUUGGGGAUGGACUCGCGGCUUAUCAGCUUGUUGGUGGGGUAGUGGCUUACCAAGGCUUUGACGGGUAGCCGGCCUGAGAGGGUGACCGGCGACAUUGGGACUGAGAUACGGCCCAGACUCCUACGGGAGGCAGCAGUGGGGGAUAUUGCACAAUGGGCGGAAGCCUGAUGCAGAAACGCCGCGUGCGGGAUGACGGCCUUCGGGUUGUAAACCGCUUUCGCCUGUGACGAAGCGUGAGUGACGGUAAUGGGUAAAGAAGCACCGGCUAACUACGUG
rnacentral:rRNA from 1 species